rnacentral:ncRNA from 1 species
CUACAGACGAAGAACGAGAACACCAGUCAUUUCAGAGAUAAAAUGCUAGGCUGAAACAUUUUAAUCAGACACUAUGGUGGUAGCUCGGGAGUUGUUAUUCUGAAAUUAAGUAGGGGUAACCGGACAUUAUGGUUCGUUAAAAAAGUAAUUAAGAGGGGUUAAAACCCAAUUUAGGUGGUACCACGGCACUGUCGUCCUAAAA